rnacentral:rRNA from 1 species
AUGCCUAAUCUGCUUGCAAGGCUCGGGAACGGCGGGCGUGGAGCUUGCUACGGCGUCGUGGCGUCCUUGGCAUUGGCGCUCGUGUUCUGCGUGCUCGUCGCCACCGUCAGCGUCUGGAAGGCCUUCUUGUUCGCCGGCAUGGCGUUGACCGCCUUCGGCAUCGGUGAGUGCCUCGCGCCCAAUAGCUGGCGCGUCGGCGCCGCCGCCGAGCGUGAGAUUACAGCAGGCGUGCCUUUGGCAGCAUGCCGGUUCGGGCUCGGGAAGGCCACGAUCGACUCGUUGCCCACGUUCGCGUACGCAUCCUGUGGCGCCGAUGCCGAUGCCGACCUCGAAUGCGGUAGCGCCCAGCUGUGCUCUGUGUGCUUGGAAGACCUUGAGGACGGCGAGAUGGUGCGGGAACUGCCGUCGUGCAAGCACAUCUUCCAUGUCGAGUGCAUUGACAUGUGGCUGCACUCACACACCACUUGUCCUAUCUGCCGCUGCGACCUCUCGCCACAGCGGACAUGUACUUCCAAAGUGGCGGCGGUAGAGACGGAACCGCCGGCUGUGCGGCCGCCUGUGUAG